rnacentral:rRNA from 1 species
GACGAGCCGAGCGAACGUUAUUCGGAAUCACUGGGCUUAAAGGGCGCGUAGGCGGGUCGGCAAGUCAGGGGUGAAAGCCCCCAGCUCAACUGGGGAAGUGCCUUUGAUACUGCCGAUCUCGAGGGAGGUAGGGGCGUGCGGAACUUCCGGUGGAGCGGUGAAAUGCGUAGAUAUCGGAAGGAACACCGGUGGCGAAAGCGGCGCGCUGGACCUCUUCUGACGCUGAGGCGCGAAAGCCAGGGGAGCAAACGGG